rnacentral:rRNA from 1 species
UACGGGGGGUGCAAGCGUUGUCCGGAUUUACUGGGCGUAAAGGGCGCGUAGGCGGUUGUAUCAGUCGGGCUUAUAAGUGCGGGGCUCAACCCCGUGAUGGGUUCGGGACGGGUAUGACUGGGGCGCGGUCGAGGGAGACGGAAUGCCGGGUGUAGUGGUGAAAUGCGGUAGAGAUCCGGCGGAACACCGGGUGGUGAAGGCGGUCUCC